AACCUUAUCAUUUAGAGGAAGGAGAAGUCGUAACAAGGUUUCCGUAGGUGAACCUGCGGAAGGAUCAUUGUCGAAACCUGCAGAGCAGAACGACCCGCGAACACGUAAAAAAGAAAACGACCGAGGGGCGCGUCCGUGUCGCGGUCGCGACGUCUGCGCGCUCCCCCGGUCCGAACAACAAACCCGGCGCGGCAAGCGCCAAGGAAAUUCAACGGAAGAGGCACGUCCCCGCGGUCGCGGCGCGGCGUGCGACUCCGACUCUAUAACGACUCUCGGCAAUGGAUAUCUCGGCUCUCGCAUCGAUGAAGAACGUAGCGAAAUGCGAUACUUGGUGUGAAUUGCAGAAUCCCGUGAACCAUCGAGUUUUUGAACGCAAGUUGCGCCCGAGGCCGUCAGGCCGAGGGCACGCCUGCCUGGGCGUCACGCAAAGCGUAGCUCCCCGCCAAAGUGUCCUCACCGCGGCAGGGACGCUGAUACUGGCCCCCCGUGCCCCCGAGGCGCGGUCGGCCCAAAUAUCGGUCCGCGGAGGCGGGCGUCGCGGCCAGUGGUGGUUGAGAAACCCCUUUGUCAUUGACCGGCGCCGCGCCGACCUCCCUCCGAGGCGGGCCGCCAGAACCCUUGCGCGCCGUCCCGACGGCGUUCACCCUGCGACCCCAGGUCAGGCGGGAUUACCCGCUGAAUUUAAGCA
rnacentral:rRNA from 1 species